AAAGAUAUUUAAAAUUAAUAGCUAACUAUUUUUAUUUUAGAAUUUAAAAUUAAACACCUAGUCAUAGUUUUAACUAAAUUAAAAUUGCCAGUACAAACCACUUUGGAUAUACCCAAACGUAGGAGGGAAGAAAAUGAUCUUGAUACACUCAUUUAUAUACCCAAAGACCAUAUAAAAUCACUACCUAGUACAAAUUUAGAUAUAUCAAGUAUUACAUUUAAUAAAAAUGAUGAUAGUCAACAAAAUGAACAUACCAAAUCACUAAUUAAUAUAGAAAAUCAAAAUUUUAAUGAUGAACUUGAUAUCAUAAG